ACGGGAGGCAGCAGUAGGGAAUCUUCCACAAUGGACGCAAGUCUGAUGGAGCAACGCCGCGUGAGUGAAGAAGGUCUUCGGAUCGUAAAACUCUGUUGUUAGAGAAGAACACGAGUGAGAGUAACUGUUCAUUCGAUGACGGUAUCUAACCAGCAAGUCACGGCUAACUACGUGCCAGCAGCCGCGGUAAUACGUAGGUGGCAAGCGUUGUCCGGAUUUAUUGGGCGUAAAGGGAACGCAGGCGGUCUUUUAAGUCUGAUGUGAAAGCCUUCGGCUUAACCGGAGUAGUGCAUUGGAAACUGGAAGACUUGAGUGCAGAAGAGGAGAGUGGAACUCCAUGUGUAGCGGUGAAAUGCGUAGAUAUAUGGAAGAACACCAGUGGCGAAAGCGGCUCUCUGGUCUGUAACUGACGCUGAGGUUCGAAAGCGUGGGUAGCAAACAGGAUUAGAUACCCUGGUA
rnacentral:rRNA from 1 species